rnacentral:rRNA from 1 species
AACGAACGCUGGCGGCAGGCUUAACACAUGCAAGUCGAACGCUCGUAGCAAUACGGGAGUGGCGGACGGGGUGAGUAACGCGUGGGAACGUGCCCUGAGGUACGGAAUAACUGAGGGAAACUUCAGCUAAUACCGUAUGAGCCCCGAGAGGGGGAAAGAUUUAUCGCCUUGGGAGCGGCCCGCGUCGGAUUAGCUAGUUGGUGGGGUAACGGCCUACCAAGGCUUCGAUCCGUAGCUGGUCUGAGAGGACGAUCAGCCACACUGGGACUGAGACACGGCCCAGACUCCUACGGGAGGCAGCAGUGGGGAAUCUUGCGCAAUGGGGGCAACCCUGACGCAGCCAUGCCGCGUGAACGAUGAAGGCCUUAGGGUUGUAAAGUUCUUUUACCCGUGACGAUGAUGACGGUAACGGGGAAUAAGCUCCGGCUAACUUCGUGCCAGCAGCCGCGGUAAU